GGUCGGGCACAUGACACAACAUUCUAACUCUCUCCUGUGAAGUGACCAUAACAUUAUGUGACAGGAAAGACAAAUGAUAGAGGAGGUGAGAUAGAAAUCAGCUGUGGCAAAGACAAGAGGCAGUGUGGCUGCAUACACAGGUCGAUUGCCAGCAGUCUUGUUCCUACAGCAGUUCUGGUAACUGGUCUAACCUCAAUUGUACACACAGACUUUCCGGGGACUUGCUGAGAUGCACAUGAACAAAACCUCAUAUCACACUGUUAAAGUGAAAAACAACCAGAAACCAGGCUUGGAAACUCCCUGAGUAGAUAAAACCAGUAGUGAUACAAAGCUUAAUUUAGCUAAUUUUGCAAGACUAACGAACUGGGCCAUUUCUUGCUUAUGCUUCUGGAAACCAUAAGCAAAAAUUAAACUUCCCCAAAACUGAUAUGAGAUAAUCACUAACAAAUUCCCUAUCAUUUAAGAAAAUCCUAAUAUUCUAGCCUAUUGCUAUAAAGAAUAAAUAGUCACUGCCUUGUCAUUACCUCAGCUGCUAUGUGAAAACAUAGCCCUGAGCUUCUCCCAUGGUUUGAUCUGAGUGCUCCCAGCUUGCAAACUAUAUUUUUGGGUACAAACUUUAGAGGGUGAUGGAGAACCCGUCAUCAAACAAACUGCCAAGGGGAGAAAUGGAGACCUUGGAAGACUUGGUCCCAACCCUGUGUUGAGCCCUUGGAAGAGGGGACAUCACUGAAUGUUGAUCUUUCUAUUACUGUUCAGUAUCUCCUAGACGGAGUUUGCUCCCGCUGCUGACAGAGGAAAGGUGAUUCGGGAUCUCCUGGCUCCGGUGCAGACAUGGCCUAGCUGAAGAACCACACCACACACAGCCAGUCCUGAAAAUGGCACAGAAGUGGCAUCAAAAACCCCGACCACAACGAUACGAAUCUCUUAAGGGGGUGGACCCCAAGUUCCUGAGGAACAUGCGCUCUGCCAAGAAGCACAGCAAGGAGGGCCUGAAGGAGAUGCAGGCCAGCAACACCAAGGCCACAAGCGCACGUGCUGAGGCCAUCAAGGCUCUCGGAAAGCCCAAGGAGGUCAAGCCCAAGAUCCCACAGGGCGGCAGCCGCGAGCUCAGUUGACUUGCCGACGUUGUUCACCCCAAGCUCAGGAAACGUGCUCAUGUCUGCAGCACCGCCAAGGGUCUCAGGCUCUGUCAGCCAAAGGCCAAGGCCAAGGCUCAGGCCAAGGCCGCAGCUCCAGCUGCAGCUGCAGCUCAGGCUCCCAAAGGUGCCCAGGCCCCCACAGAGGCUCCAGAGUAGAGGCUUUCAUCUCUGAUGUGAGAAUAGAAGGACUAGUGUGACCCCUGUGCUGCUGUCUGCAUGGGGUUCAUGUCUACCUGUGCUGUUUGUACAAAUAAACUUGAGGCAGGAUCUGUCAGUCAAAAAAAAAA